rnacentral:rRNA from 1 species
UAUGAAGGGUGCAAGCGUUGUCCGGAUUUACUGGGCGUAAAGAGCGCGCAGGCGGUCGUUCAAGUCGGGUGUGAAAGCCCCCGGCUCAACUGGGGAGGGUCACGCGAUACUGAUCGACUCGAAGGCAGGAGAGGGUAGUGGAAUUCCCGGUGUAGUGGUGAAAUGCGUAGAUAUCGGGAGGAACACCAGUGGCGAAGGCGACUACCUGGCCUGUUCUUGACGCUGAGGCGCGAAAGCUAGGGGAGCAAACGGG